rnacentral:Y_RNA from 1 species
GGCUAGUCCAAAGACAAUGAGUUAUCUCAAUUGAUAGCUCAUAGUCAAUUACAGAUCAAACUCUUGUACUUUUCCCCCCUCUUCUCAGUACUGCAUUUGGUCAGUGUUAA